rnacentral:rRNA from 1 species
AUUGAACGCUGGCGGCAUGCCCUACACAUGCAAGUCGAACGGCAGCAUGAUCUAGCUUGCUAGAUUGAUGGCGAGUGGCGAACGGGUGAGUAAUACAUCGGAACGUGCCCUGUAGUGGGGGAUAACUAGUCGAAAGAUUAGCUAAUACCGUAUACGACCUGAGGGUGAAAGUGGGGGACCGCAAGGCCUCAUGCUAUAGGAGCGGCCGAUGUCGGAUUAGCUAGUUGGUGAGGUAAAGGCUCACCAAGGCGACGAUCAGUAGCUGGUCUGAGAGGACGAUCAGCCACACUGGGACUGAGACACGGCCCAGACUCCUACGGGAGGCAGCAGUGGGGAAUUUUGGACAAUGGGCGAAAGCCUGAUCCAGCAAUGCCGCGUGUGUGAAGAAGGCCUUCGGGUUGUAAAGCACUUUUGUCCGGAAAGAAAUGGCUCUGGUUAAUACCUGGGGUCGAUGACGGUACCGGAAGAAUAAGGACCGGCUAACUACGUG